AACGUAGGAGACAAACGUUAUCCGGAGUUACUGGGCGUAAAGGGCGUGUAGGUGGUUACGUAAGUCUGGCGUGAAAUAUCUCGGCUUAACCGAGGCAGGUCGUCGGAUACUGCGAGACUAGAGGACGGUAGAGGCGUGUGGAAUUCCGGGUGUAGUGGUGAAAUGCGUAGAGAUCCGGAGGAACACCAGUGGCGAAGGCGACACGCUGGGCCGUACCUGACACUGAUGCGCGACAGCAUGGGGAGCAAACAGG
rnacentral:rRNA from 1 species